AUGCUUGACCUCAAAUCAGGUAGGACUACCCGCUGAACUUAAGCAUAUCAAUAAGCGGAGGAAAAGAAACUAACAAGGAUUCCCCUAGUAACUGCGAGUGAAGCGGGAAAAGCUCAAAUUUAAAAUCUGGCGGUCUCUGGCCGUCCGAGUUGUAAUCUAGAGAAGUAAUGCCCGUGCUGGACCGUGUAUAAGUCUCCUGGGAUGGGGCGUCAUAGAGGGUGAGAAUCCCGUCUUUGACACGGACUACCAGUGCAUUGUGGUAUGCUCUCAAAGAGUCGAGUUGUUUGGGAAUGCAGCUCAAAAUGGGUGGUAAAUUCCAUCUAAAGCUAAAUAUUGGCGAGAGACCGAUAGCGAACAAGUACCGUGAGGGAAAGAUGAAAAGAACUUUGGAAAGAGAGUUAAACAGUACGUGAAAUUGCUGAAAGGGAAACGCUUGAAGUCAGUCGCGUUGGCCGGGGAUCAGCCUUGCUUUUGCUUGGUGUACUUUCUGGUUGACGGGUCAGCAUCAAUUUUGACCGCUGGAAAAAGACCUGGGGAAUGUGGCAGCUUCGGCUGUGUUAUAGCCCCUAGUCGCAUACAGUGGUUGGGAUUGAGGAACUCAGCACGCCGCAAGGCCGGGUUUCGACCACGUUCGUGCUUAGGAUGCUGGCAUAAUGGC
rnacentral:rRNA from 2 species